rnacentral:tRNA from 1 species
AAAUAAGAAGCAAAUAUGCAUUUAAUUUCGACUUAAAAGAAUGAGUUUUAACUACUCCUUAUUUA